UACAGAGGGGGGCAAGCGUUGUUCGGAAUUACUGGGCGUAAAGGGCGCGUAGGCGGCCUUCUAAGUCAGACGUGAAAUCCCCAGGCUUAACCUGGGAACUGCGUCUGAUACUGGAUGGCUUGAAUUCGGGAGAGGGGAUGCAGAAUUCCAGGAUGUGAGCGGUGAAAUGCGUAGAUAUCUGGAGGAAUACCGGUGGCGAAGGCGGCAUCCUGGACCGAGAUUGACACUGAUGAGCGAAAGCCAGGGGAGCAAACGGG
rnacentral:rRNA from 1 species